rnacentral:rRNA from 1 species
ACGUAUGGGGCAAGCGUUGUUCGGAAUUAUUGGGCGUAAAGGGCGUGUAGGCGGUGGAUUAAGUUAGAUGUGAAAGCCCUGGGCUCAACCCAGGAACUGCAUCUAAUACUGGCUAGCUUGAGUCCGGGAGAGGGGACCGGAAUUCCAGGUGUAGCGGUGAAAGGCGUAGAUAUCAGGAAGAACACCAGUGGCGAAGGCGGGUCUCUGGCCUAGGACUGACGCUGAAGCGCGAAAGCGUGGGGAGCGAACAG